GCCCCAGAGAAACUCCGGGAUCUUUAACCGGCUGUGUGAGAUGCACUUGGAGACAGAGUCUGAUGGUGAGGGAGAUUUCCUGGCAGCUUUCGCCAACUACAACCCAGGUAUUGAAGGGGACAGUUCAGAAGAGGACUCAGAUGAGUGUAGUUGUGCCAAUGGUCGCUGUGUGCGUUCCUACUUGGGCACUAUGUGUGAGUGCAACACAGGCUUUAGGCUGGACCACUCCCGCACC